GGACGACAAUUAAAGCGGCUCCGUGGUUUUUAAUCCCUAGUGCCGUUUUAUGGCGCGGAAUCAGCUACGCGUCAAACGCAUGCAAAUUUUUAGCCGUUUGCUGCCUCCGGUUAAAAACAUAACGCUCGUAUUAUUACGACCGCAGAGCACUUAUAUUCGCUAUCCUAUUGACACCCCGACUUCAUUUCCACCGUGUUAUAAGGCCGAUCUCGUUCCACAUUCGUGUCAUCUCUUCUUGACCGUCGCCGCUCUCGACUUUCCGACCAUCCGUCCGUAUUGAUUUUGUACGCAUAGAAAAUCGCCGGGCCUCAUACGCAAUACGACUGUGGUACGCGGUGUU